GCCAGUCGCGCGCUCAGAGCUGCAGAGCUGUCGGACCUCUGGACGCCACCACCACUGCUGCUGCUCCGGGUCUCGGCUCCUCCCCCGCUAAAGAGCACUAGGGCAGGCGGGGACUGCGGCGGCGGAAGUGGUUGUGACGUCAGCGCGCGUCCGCCCCCUUGAUGUGGCGGGGGCGGCUGCUGCCCUCUGUGAAUUGGGGUGGGCUCAAAAGCGUCAUUUCGUUCGAAACGCUGUGAUUUUUCAGGGGAACAAAAAAAAAAAAGGCAUCGAGAACUGUAACCGCAUUAACAAAUGUUAAACAUUUGCCACCUUCCCUUCCGUUUUUUUUCCUAAUAAAAUGAAAUCCGAAGAUUCUGAUUAA
rnacentral:lncRNA from 14 species